AUGAACGCUGGCGGCGUGCCUAAUACAUGCAAGUCGAGCGAACAGACGAGGAGCUUGCUCCUCUGACGUUAGCGGCGGACGGGUGAGUAACACGUGGAUAACCUACCUAUAAGACUGGGAUAACUUCGGGAAACCGGAGCUAAUACCGGAUAAUAUAUUGAACCGCAUGGUUCAAUAGUGAAAGACGGUUUUGCUGUCACUUAUAGAUGGAUCCGCGCCGCAUUAGCUAGUUGGUAAGGUAACGGCUUACCAAGGCAACGAUGCGUAGCCGACCUGAGAGGGUGAUCGGCCGCACUGGAACUGAGACACGGUCCAGACUCCUACGGGAGGCAGCAGUAGGGAAUCUUCCGCAAAGGGCGAAAGCCUGACGGAGCAACGCCGCGUGAGUGAUGAAGGUCUUCGGAUCGUAAAACUCUGUUAUUAGGGAAGAACAAAUGUGUAAGUAACUAUGCACGUCUUGACGGUACCUAAUCAGAAAGCCACGGCUAACUACGUG
rnacentral:rRNA from 1 species